CCCCUAGACGUUCUGGGCUGCACGCGCGCUACAAUAAUACGCACAGCGAGUAUCACCGAGCUCGAAAGGGCAAGGUAAACAAUAGAAAAGGUACUGUAAUGGUUAUAGAUCCUUGUAAUUAUUGAUCUUCAACGAGGAAUUCCUAGUAAGUAUGUGUCAUCAUCACGCACUGAUUACGUCCCUGCCCUUUGUACACACCGCCCGUCGCUCCUACCGAUUGGGUGAACCGAUGAAACUCUCGGAUGUAGGCUAUUCAUAGCCCGCAGAAGAGAUUUGAAUCGUAGCGCUUAGAGGAAGGAGAAGUCGUAACA
rnacentral:rRNA from 1 species